AUGGGUGAGCCACUAACCGCGGUCCUAACUGGACCGGCUCAGGAGAAGACAGAAGAGAAGGUUGGGGUGCCCAACCAAUGCCUUUCGGGAGAAGACCAGCUCACAGUUUCCUUUCCCAUGUCUCCUGCCAUGAGGCAGGCUGGGGAUGGGCUGACUUGCCAGGCCAUGACAGUGCUAUGCGUGCUGGCGGAAGAGGAGAUAGAGGAGAUGGUCCCCGCCCAGAUGGACGCUGAGCUGGCGGGACAAGUUGGGAUUGAGGAGGUGUCACAGGAUGAUGAUGGAUGGGGUGAGCAGAGGCUCACAGCCCCAAGCGGCCUGAUGGAAGCUAGGUUGGAUGUUACUGCGAAACUAUACCAGCCCGACCCAGUGUAG
rnacentral:rRNA from 1 species